rnacentral:rRNA from 1 species
GAUGAACGCUGGCGGCGUGCCUAAUACAUGCAAGUCGAGCGAACGGACGAGAAGCUUGCUUCUCUGAUGUUAGCGGCGGACGGGUGAGUAACACGUGGAUAACCUGCCUAUAAGACUGGGAUAACUUCGGGAAACCGUAGCUAAUACCGGAUAAUAUUUUGAACCGCAUGGUUCAAAAGUGAAAGACGGUCUUGCUGUCACUUAUAGAUGGAUCCGCGCUGCAUUAGCUAGUUGGUAAGGUAACGGCUUACCAAGGCAACGAUGCAUAGCCGACCUGAGAGGGUGAUCGGCCACACUGGAACUGAGACACAGUCCAGACUCCUACGGGAGGCAGCAGUAGGGAAUCUUCCGCAAUGGGCGAAAGCCUGACGGAGCAACGCCGCGUGAGUGAUGAAGGUCUUCGGAUCGUAAAACUCUGUUAUUAGGGAAGAACAUAUGUGUAAGUAACUGUGCACAUCUUGACGGUACCUAAUCAGAAAGCCACGGCUAACUACGUG